rnacentral:rRNA from 1 species
GACGAACGCUGGCGGCGUGCCUAAUACAUGCAAGUUGAGCGAUGAAGAUUGGUGCUUGCACCAAUUUGAAGAGCAGCGAACGGGUGAGUAACGCGUGGGGAAUCUGCCUUUGAGCGGGGGACAACAUUUGGAAACGAAUGCUAAUACCGCAUAACAACUUUAAACAUAAGUUUUAAGUUUGAAAGAUGCAAUUGCAUCACUCAAAGAUGAUCCCGCGUUGUAUUAGCUAGUUGGUGAGGUAAAGGCUCACCAAGGCGAUGAUACAUAGCCGACCUGAGAGGGUGAUCGGCCACAUUGGGACUGAGACACGGCCCAAACUCCUACAGGAGGCAGCAGUAGGGAAUCGUCGGCAAUGGACGAAAGUCUGACCGAGCAACGCCGCGUGAGUGAAGAAGGUUUUCGGAUCGUAAAACUCUGUUGGUAGAGAAGAACGUUGGUGAGAGUGGAAAGCCCAUCAAGUGACGGUAACUACCCAGAAAGGGACGGCUAACUACGUG